UGGGGAAUAUUGGACAAUGGGCGAAAGCCUGAUCCAGCAAUGCCGCGUGAGUGAAGAAGGCCUUAGGGUUGUAAAGCUCUUUCGCCUGCGACGAUGAUGACGGUAGCAGGAGAAGAAGCCCCGGCUAAUUCCGUGCCAGCAGCCGCGGUAAUACGGAAGGGGCUAGCGUUGUUCGGAAUCACUGGGCGUAAAGCGCGCGUAGGCGGCUUGGCAAGUGAGGCGUGAAAGUCCUGGGCUCAACCCGGGGACGGCGCUUCAGACUGCGGGGCUAGAGUCCGGAAGAGGGUGGUGGAAUUCCGAGUGUAGAGGUGAAAUUCGUAGAUAUUCGGAGGAACACCGGCGGCGAAGGCGGCCACCUGGUCCGGAACUGACGCUCAAGUGCGAAAGCGUGGGGAGCAAACA
rnacentral:rRNA from 1 species